GCGUGGAAGAGAGCUCCGACGAACCGAUGCCGGAGUCUUCGCCGGAGAAUUUAAGGCUGGGGAUGUAAUCGUGGAGCAUAUCGGCGACGUCUUUGAAUCGACGGAGGUAGAGAAGCGAUCUGGCUUUGAGCUCGAGAGCGAGUUCGUAGCGAGGAGAGACGGAGAGAGCAGACUCGAGAAGGCUUAGAGCUGAUUCGACGUCGUUUGGAUCUUUGCUUGCUAUUAAAUUCUUUGCUUCCUUCAUGUAUUUGUCAACGAUCUGGUUAAAAAAAGACAAGAAACAUUGCACGAAGACAGUAUCCAUGAGAUUGGUUUGAGAUUUGUCUGAAAAUUGGAGAAGAAGAAGAAGAAGAACACAAACCUUCUUGUUGCGGAGCCACCAGUGCUUCUUCUCGCCGUAGACCGCCAUUGCCGUAACUUGGAGUCUUCGUGAAACAAUCAACUUUAUCUCUCGAUCCGGGAAAUUAAAUAAAUAUUGAAUAUAUAUAUAUACACAGCGAAAUUAAAAAAAAAAUGUUAGAGAGAGAAGAGAGAGGAAAGAAAUAGUGGACAACACGAGAGGAGAGAGAGAGAGAGAGAUGGAUUUUGAAAAUCAUGUGAAGAGUUGAAGUGUCUUAAAUACGGAAGAGAGUUGUGUAAUAGAAGAUGAACACUGGAAUGACGGAUUUGCCCCAUGGACGAAGCUCUUUGGAUCCCCUCGAGGGUUCCAAGCUGGCACAAUGCAGAAGCACACUAUUGCUUAGCCAUUAGAGCAUAUGCAUUGGUGUACUUGUAUCAGGAGUCCUUAGGAGUUAAAAAGUAUUAUUUUUUAACUUUUGAAUAGUUAAGGAUUAUUGUCUUAAUCUUACGUCCAAUAGUGUUAUCCAAUCAGAAGUCCUUAGGAAUAAAAUAAUAAUAUAUUUUUUAAAAAAUUGAAAAAAAAAAAUAAAAAUUUAUUGCAUAAAAAAAUAUAAAAAUACAAUAAUUACUGAUUUCAUGAUUAAAAGAAACAUACAACAAUUAUUAAUUUUGAUCACCAAAUUUGUUCCAAACAUUUUCGAUUAAAUCGUUUUUUAGUUGUUCAUGUAUACGCCUAUCGCGAACAUGAGUCCGAAUGCCAACCAUAUUAUCGAGAUUUGUAGGCGUCUCGGUACUGUAGGACAUAUCUACCUGAGAACUUCUGCUUCCAUCUCCUUCUUCAAACUCAGAUAUAUUGUACUGAGUGUAUCCGUCUCGUUCAUAUUCGACUAUCAUAUUGUGUAGUAUGAUACAUGCUCUCAUAAUCUUCCCAACUUUCGUCUUGUCUAAUGUAAGAGCCGGGUUUUUCACAAUCGCAAAUCGAGCUUGCAAAACUCCAAAAGCCCGCUCAACAUCUUUUCGAGUCGCUUCUUGACAUUUAGCAAAUAACUCUGCUUUAGGACCUUGCGGGAGGGAGAUAGAUUGGAUAAAUGUUGACCAUUUUGGAUAUAUGCCGUCUGUGAGGUAGUACGCCAAAUCAUACUGGUGUCCGUUGACCACGUACUGAACUCUUGGUGCUCGACCUUGUAAAAUGUCAUCAAAAACAGGUGAUCGAUCAAGGACGUUAAUAUCGUUCAAAGUACCUGGAGAACCAAAAAAAGCGUGCCAUAUCCAAAGAUCUUGUGAAGCUACUGCCUCCAAGACAAUUGUCGGUUUUCCGGAUCCACGUGUGUAUUGUCCUUUCCAAGAGGUUGGACAAUUUUUCCACUCCCAAUGCAUACAAUCGAUGCUUCCUACCAUUCCAGGAAAGCCGCGUAUCUCUCCAAUAUCAAGUAGUCGUUGAAGAUCCUCUGGAGUUGGUCUUCGUAGAUACUCAUCUCCAAAUAACCGUAUUAUGUUUUCUGUGAACUUAUGUAAACACAAAAGUGCCGUGGAUUCACCAAGUCGAAGAUACUCGUCAACUGCGUCAGCUGCAGAACCAUAAGCGAGGAGACGAAUAGCAGCCGUACAUUUUUGUAGUGGAGAAAGACCGGGCCUCCCGGUUGCAUCUCUUGACUGACGAAAGAAAGGGACGUCCUCUGAAAGGCGAUGGACAAUAUGCAUGAAUAAGUCUUUGUUCAUGCGGAAACGACGUCUGAAUAAGUUGGGGGGAAAAGUCGAAUUCUCGCAGAAGUAAUCAUUCCAUAAACGUUCGUGUCCCGUUUCUCGAUCGCGUUCUAUAUAAAGACGUCUAACUGGGUUAUUGUGAUGGGACUCCACUAUGUUGUUGUAUGUGUCCUCCAAAAUGUCGUCAAAAACUUCUUCUAGUCUUUCUUCGAGUUCGUCGGAUGAAGAUGAUGACAUUUUGUGUGUUUACUUCGUAAUCCUUCACUGAAAAUGAAGAUUGUUAAUUAAUUUUUUGUUUAAAAAAACACUUGUGUUGUAAAUUUUACAAGUGAAGACUUCUGUUAUCUAAAUAGUUUGCUAAAAUGUUGUAUAUAUUUUUUAAAAAUUGUUUAAAAUUCACAAGUGAAGACAUAUUCUUUGUAAAAGGGUAGUGAGAAUAGAGGAGGGAUAAAGAGAAUGAUUUUUUUCCUAGAGGGGCAUAUGGAGUUAAGCUCCUUCGAAAUGCCAUGUCUGAAAGAGAAGAAAGUUUUGUCCUUCGAUAGUUUCAUCGUUUUAAGUGCAAUUGAUUGGACUUCUGUCAAUGACAAAAAAAAAAAAAUUGAACUUCUGUUAAAAAUAAUUUCUUUUGUUGUAAAACCCUUUUCCUCCGCCAAUUUUACACAAUCUUUGAUUUUUAUGUCGACACAACAACAAAUCUUUUACUUUACCAACCACCAAAUUGGAUGGAUUUUGACACUGGCUAUCUUCAGUUGGAAUGUUUAAUAUUUUUAAUCAUUUGGAUACUAUUUUUGCCUGAUAAAAUUAGAGAUUAACAUUUUUAUUCAUAUUUUUUAUUAGUUAGCUAUAUAACCAUAUGAUUCGAUGGUUACAGUACGGACCAUGUAAUGUAUAACAUAGACUAAAAUACAUUUCUUAGCUUACAAACGAAGUUGAUGGAGUUGUGAAAAAUUAUUAUUGGAGAUGGAUUGAUUACUCAACUUUAAUAAAUAUAUGUCAAACUCGAUCGUCCAAAACAAAAAGGUUGGAAAGAAUAAGAAAACUCAAAAAGAAAAAAAAUAUAGAAAAAAUUUAAUUCAAGUAAACCAUACAUAUAAACAAGAAGACAUCGAAAACUCGAAAAGAUCAAUGAACUUGGGCACAAGCCUAAAAGAUUUAUUGUUAGGAGCUCUUUAGCUUAAUAAAUUUCCUUUCUUAUUUGUUCUUUUUGACUAUCGAGUUCUUGUAUGAUUAUUAAUACGAAAUGUUAUGAAACCUAAACAUUUCGACCAUUUAUUAGAUAUGCGAAAUCAGAGUUCGAUAACUGUCACAGUCUUUGAGGAUCUAAAAGUGGAAACAACAGCAAAUCUACUAUAUUACUCAACAUUUAAAAUAAGGAAAUACGAACUAGUCGACGACAACUCAUGACAAAAGAGACGAAACAAUCUAAGAAAAUGUGAUCUAACUUUUUCUCUACUCUCAUUUCACAACAAUAUUUAUUUUUGCGUUGUUUCAUAAAGUUUUCCACUUGUAACCAAAAAGACUACCUUUAAAGAUUUUUUCUUUUAAUAAGGAAAACUACGUUAGGUCUGCGUAAUUCUUUAAAUGGUACCAACAAAGAUCAUGUGAAAACAAUAUUUCAAAAUUUCCACGAUCUGUUUUUCUUUUCUCACAAGUCAUGGGUUGUAUCUGCCAUUGCCAUUGCUGUUUUCGUAUUAAUAUAAGAGGUAUAGUUAUGAAAUAAAUUAGAAUAAGGAAAAUAAAUUAUCAAAGUCCACUUGAGAAACAAUAGUAGCUUUUCAACUAACGAAAAACAAAAGAAAAACAAAAGUUCCCAGCGAUUAUAGCGAUUAUUAUUUGAUAUAAAUAUGAAAUCUCGAUCUAUUGUUUAUUCACAUUUACAUUCACGUAUUAUGUCAUUUUUCAAAAUGAACUCACGGACUUAAAACAUUUUAAACAAUUUCUAUACUUCUGUUAUCGUUUGUAUAUUCGGUUUAAAAGUUAAAAGAAGUCAAAUUAAAUAUAUAUUUUGAUAGAGAGAGAAGAAUAAAGAAGAAACAAACAAGUGAGAAAGCUCCAAAAAAUCUCGGGCAGACAAUAUUCUUAUUAUCCAUAAUUUCAUCCAAUGUGAUCUGUCUUUUCUAUUGUACAUACAAAAUCAGCAACUAAGCGCUUCGUACUUAACCGGAAUCGGUUGGUUAAACCCGGUCCGUGCAAUCAAACUCCCAACCACCGUCAAAUCUCUACAAAACACUCCUUUCACCACAUUCACAUUAUUAUUCGCCGCAACCGCACCCACUCUAAUCGGCGUUUCCGUUCCCGCGACUCUACGCUGCUUAAGGUCACUUGUCACGACGGAGUAACCCUUUUGAAUCAACCUGUAUAGUAAUAGCGUUGACAUUCUCGCCCGGUCCUUAACCGAGUCUAAUUCCUCCUCGUCCUCGGUUAACUCAAACCGGUCAAUAAACGACAUUGAUCUCUCCGGUUUAUGCUUUAAAUUGAGCAGCAAGUAAGCUCGAUCCAGCUCCGAUCUCGAGCAAUCGCGUCUGAUUCCCAUCAGAGCGUAGUAAUCAACGUUUCCGAUUCCUCCGUUCGCGAUCCUCUCCUUCAAUUGUUGAAGCCUCGACGUCAAAACGCAUAACUUACCCGGUAUCUCUCUGUACCGGACAUUGUGCCGUUUCCAAACCGGACCGGGAAGUUUCCGGUCACGUAAGAUCGAGUUGUAAAGAAGCUUCAAGUGUUCCAAAUCGUGAAGCGAGUCAGGGAAACACCGUACGGACUCGAGCAGCGCGGCUCUCGUUUCCAACGCUUGGAGGCACGACGGCUCCAACGCCAACGUUUUGUUGCAAUCGGCGAUGGACUCCGCGAUCCUCCCGGCGGAUCUGUACGCCGAUGCGCGGUGCAUGAAGCACUCGGCGAGGAAGCCCUGCGGCGCGGCGCGGCGGCUGUCUAGGAUUUUGGAGAAAUGGCGGAUUGAUUCCGAGUAGAGUCCGGCGUCGAGAGCCGCGAGCGCGGCGGCGCGGCGGCGUAAGAGGAGCUUGAUGUGAGAUAGCAUGUGAGCGACGCUUUCGGAUUCGGUUAGCGAUCGCGGCUGGGAGGAAGAAGAGACGACGACGGAGGAAGGAGGAGGAGAGGAGGAUCCGCCGUGCGCGGGGGAGAAGAGGAUGAAGCUGUCGUCGGAUAAGGAGAUGCUCUGACGACGGAACGCGGCGGUGGCUAACCGUUUACCGGUUUGGAGAAGGACCAUCGCGUCCUCCAUAAGGCCUAGGUGGCAACAAGCUUGACCAAGAACUAAAUAUCUGUAACAGAAAACAAAAAGAUCCGAAUCAAAAUCGGGUCAACCGGGUCGGGUCAUUUCAAUUAACCAACAACAAGCUUGACCAAGAGAACUAAAUAACAGAAAACAAAAGAUCCGAAUCAGAACCGGGUCAACCGGGUCGGGUCAUUUCAAUUAACCAACGGGUCAAAUGUUUUUACCUCCAUUGCCCUUGUUCGUUGCAGUUUUUACUGAGCCCAGCCAUGACUUUCUUCUUGAGAUCAGAAACAGAGAAGCAUUUAAAGGAUGAGUCACCGCCGUGACUCGGCAAAUCGUUCAGGAGGUUGACCGAUUCACGAGACGAGUGCGUGGAAGAGAGCUCCGACGAACCGAUGCCGGAGUCUUCGCCGGAGAAUUUAAGGCUGGGGAUGUAAUCGUGGAGCAUAUCGGCGACGUCUUUGAAUCGACGGAGGUAGAGAAGCGAUCUGGCUUUGAGCUCGAGAGCGAGUUCGUAGCGAGGAGAGACGGAGAGAGCAGACUCGAGAAGGCUUAGAGCUGAUUCGACGUCGUUUGGAUCUUUG
rnacentral:lncRNA from 1 species